rnacentral:rRNA from 1 species
UAGGGAAUCUUCCACAAUGGACGCAAGUCUGAUGGAGCAACGCCGCGUGAGUGAAGAAGGCUUUCGGGUCGUAAAACUCUGUUAUUGAAGAAGAACGUGUGUGAAGUAACUGGUCAUGCAGUGACGGUAUUCAAUCAGAAAGUCACGGCUAACUACGUGCCAGCAGCCGCGGUAAUACGUAGGUGGCAAGCGUUGUCCGGAUUUAUUGGGCGUAAAGCGAGUGCAGGCGGUCUUUUAAGUCUGAUGUGAAAGCCUUCGGCUUAACCGAAGAAGGGCAUCGGAAACUGGGAGACUUGAGUGAGAAGAGGAGAGUGGAACUCCAUGUGUAGCGGUGAAAUGCGUAGAUAUAUGGAAGAACACCAGUGGCGAAGGCGGCUCUCUGGUCUGUAACUGACGCUGAGGCUCGAAAGCGUGGUAGCAAACAGGAUUAGAUAC